GGGUCAGUAGGUUGGUCGUGCCACCGGUACGUACUGGUCCCACUGAUUCCUCCUUCCUGAAGAACCGUAAUGCCAUUAAUUUGGUGUUGCGGGGAAACAGGACUGUUACUUUGAAAAAAUUAGAGUGUUUAAAGCAAGCUAACGCUUGGAUACAUUAGCAUGGAAUAAUGAAGUAGGACGAUCGAUCCUAUUUUGUCGGUUUCUAGGAUUGACGUA
rnacentral:rRNA from 1 species